rnacentral:sRNA from 1 species
AUAUUCCCCACACCGGGAGGGUGAGAACCCUCGACAGGGUUCGACAAAACGCGCAGCGUUUUGCACAGCCGAAGGCUGCCCGCAGGGUGAGCGCAGCGAAUGCAUCCCUCCCUCACCGUCC